GUACUGUUUUUAUCAUGCUGUUAUCCAAUUUCGUGGAAUAGAAGAAAAAGGUAUCAGCUAACUUGCAAAAACCCAGAUAAUUCAUGUUCUUCCAUCAAUGUCAACUCCUUGGCUAAAGUUAGAAAGGAUCAAAGAACUUCUAAUUUUAAUUUCAAAAUUGCAGAACUACAAGCAUGAGAUUUCAUACUUUAUGGAUCUUCACAGCAUACAUUUGGGCCAUACUGCAGACUGAUAAGAAAGUUGUCUUCACUGUGCUCAAAAGUGUGUCUGAACUCCAGCCUCCUUGUGGAGACCAAGCUACACUAAUUACGAAGAAGGCCUGGAUCCAGCAAGCGGACCCACUCAGAUGA
rnacentral:lncRNA from 1 species